rnacentral:pre_miRNA from 1 species
GUAUGGAGUAAUCUUUGUCUCUCAGUUGGGAUAAAUUAUUAUAAAGAAAUUGAUACUAGAUAGUUUUCCCUUCAAGUUAAAUAUCUUGU